rnacentral:tRNA from 1 species
GGGGGUGUCGCCAAGCGGUCAAGGCCGGCUGCUCAUAACAGUCUUAUCGCAGGUUCGAAUCCUGCCACCCCCA